ensembl:snRNA U6 U6 spliceosomal RNA
GUGCUCAUCUUGACAGCACGGAUAGUAAAAUUGGAACAAUACAGAGAAGAUUAGCAUGGCCUAUGUGCAAAAGAGUUAUGCAAAUUCAUGGAGCAUCUAUUUUUUU